CCUACGGGGGGCAGCAGUGAGGAAUAUUGGUCAAUGGGCGUAAGCCUGAACCAGCCAAGUCGCGUGAGGGAUGAAGGUUCUAUGGAUCGUAAACCUCUUUUAUAAGGGAAUAAAGUGUGGGACGUGUCCUGUUUUGUAUGUACCUUAUGAAUAAGGAUCGGCUAACUCCGUGCCAGCAGCCGCGGUAAUACGGAGGAUCCGAGCGUUAACCGGAUUUAUUGGGUUUAACGGGUGCGUAGGCGGCCUUGUAAGUCAGCGGUGAAAGUCUGUGGCUCAACCAUGGAAUUGCCGUUGAAACUGGGAGGCUUGAGGAUGUUUGAGGCAGGCGGAAUGCGUGGUGUAGCGGUGAAAUGCUUAGAUAUCACGCAGAACCCCGAUUGCGAAGGCAGCCUGCCAAGCCAUGACUGACGCUGAUGCACGAAAGCGUGGGGAUCAAACAGGAUUAGAUACCCCUGUAGUC
rnacentral:rRNA from 1 species